rnacentral:rRNA from 1 species
UACCCUUUUUUUAAGGGAUAGGGUCGGUUCGGCCGGAUUUUACACAAGUGUUGCAUGGCUGUCGUCAGCUCGUGUCGUGAGAUGUUGGGUUAAGUCCCGCAACGAGCGCAACCCUCAUCCUUAGUUGCUAUCAGGUAAUGCUGAGUACUUUAAGGAAACUGCCAGUGAUAAGCUGGAGGAAGGUGGGGAUGAUGUCAAGUCAUCAUGGCCUUUAUGGAGUGGGCUACACACGUGCUACAAUGGUGUCUACAAUGGGCUGCAAGGUGCGCAAGCCUAAGCUAAUCCCUAAAAGACAUCUCAGUUCGGAUUGUACUCUGCAACUCGAGUACAUGAAGUUGGAAUCGCUAGUAAUCGUGGAUCAGCAUGCCACGGUGAAUACGUUCUCGGGUCUUGUACACACUGCCCGUCACGCCAUGGGAAUUGGUUUACUUCCAAAGC